UACGUAGGGUGCAAGCGUUAAUCGGAAUUAUUGGGCGUAAAGCGUGCGCAGGCGGUUUUGUAAGUCUGACGUGAAAUCCCCGGGCUCAACCUGGGAAUUGCGUUGGAGACUGCAAGGCUAGAAUCUGGCAGAGGGGGGUAGAAUUCCACGUGUAGCAGUGAAAUGCGUAGAGAUGUGGAGGAACACCGAUGGCGAAGGCAGCCCCCUGGGUCAAGAUUGACGCUCAUGCACGAAAGCGUGGGGAGCAAACAGG
rnacentral:rRNA from 1 species